rnacentral:rRNA from 1 species
GACGAACGCUGGCGGCGUGCCUAAUACAUGCAAGUUGAGCGCUGAAGGUUGGUACUUGUCCCAACUAGAUGAGCAGCGAACGGGUGAGUAACGCGUGGGGAAUCUGCCUUUGAGCGGGGGACAACAUUUGGAAACGAAUGCUAAUACCGCAUAAAAACUUUAAACACAAGUUUUAAGUUUGAAAGAUGCAAUUGCAUCACUCAAAGAUGAUCCCGCGUUGUAUUAGCUAGUUGGUGAGGUAAAGGCUCACCAAGGCGAUGAUACAUAGCCGACCUGAGAGGGUGAUCGGCCACAUUGGGACUGAGACACGGCCCAAACUCCUACGGGAGGCAGCAGUAGGGAAUCUUCGGCAAUGGACGAAAGUCUGACCGAGCAACGCUGCGUGAGUGAAGAAGGUAUUCGGAUCGUAAAACUCUGUUGGUAGAGAAGAACGUUGGUGAGAGUGGAAAGCUCAUCAAGUGACGGUAACUACCCAGAAAGGGACGGCUAACUACGU